rnacentral:rRNA from 1 species
UACGUAGGGACCGAGCGUUGUCCGGAUUCAUUGGGCGUAAAGAGCUCGUAGGCGGCCACUCAAGUCGAAUGUGAAACCUCGAGGCUUAACCUCGAGCCUGCAUUCGAUACUGGGCGGCUAGAAUCUGGUAGGGGGAUCUGGAAUUCCUGGUGUAGCGGUGGAAUGCGCAGAUAUCAGGAGGAACACCGGUGGCGAAGGCGGGAUCCUGGGCCAGUACUGACGCUGAGGAGCGAAAGCGUGGGGAGCAAACAGG